rnacentral:rRNA from 1 species
CAGUCGCCGCGGUAAUACAGAGGGUGCGAGCGUUAAUCGGAUUUACUGGGCGUAAAGCGUGCGUAGGCGGCUUCUUAAGUCGGAUGUGAAAUCCCUGAGCUUAACUUAGGAAUUGCAUUCGAUACUGGGAAGCUAGAGUAUGGGAGAGGAUGGUAGAAUUCCAGGUGUAGCGGUGAAAUGCGUAGAGAUCUGGAGGAAUACCGAUGGCGAAGGCAGCCAUCUGGCCUAAUACUGACGCUGAGGUACGAAAGCAUGGGGAGCAAACAGGAUUAGAUACCCGCGUAGUCCCUGUCCUUAUACA